AUUGAACGCUGGCGGCAGGCCUAACACAUGCAAGUCGAACGGCAGCACAGAAGAGCUUGCUCUUUGGGUGGCGAGUGGCGGACGGGUGAGUAAUGUCUGGGAAACUGCCCGAUGGAGGGGGAUAACUACUGGAAACGGUAGCUAAUACCGCAUAACGUCGCGAGACCAAAGUGGGGGACCUUCGGGCCUCACACCAUCGGAUGUGCCCAGAUGGGAUUAGCUAGUAGGUGGGGUAAUGGCUCACCUAGGCGACGAUCCCUAGCUGGUCUGAGAGGAUGACCAGCCACACUGGAACUGAGACACGGUCCAGACUCCUACGGGAGGCAGCAGUGGGGAAUAUUGCACAAUGGGCGCAAGCCUGAUGCAGCCAUGCCGCGUGUAUGAAGAAGGCCUUCGGGUUGUAAAGUACUUUCAGCGGGGAGGAAGGCGGUGAGGUUAAUAACCUUGCCGAUUGACGUUACCCGCAGAAGAAGGACCGGCCAACUACGUGCCAGCAGCCGCCGUAA
rnacentral:rRNA from 1 species